UGAGUGCGAGCUGCUACGGCAGCGAAGUUGGUGAUGUCAUGCUUCCAAGAAAAGCCCUAUACCCGUUAAGGCAUCAUGGCCUGUACCCGAAACCGACACAGGUGGGGUGGUAGAGAAUACCGAGGGGCGCGAGGUAACUCUCUCUAAGGAACUCGGCAAAAUGGCCCCGUAACUUCGGGAGAAGGGGUGCCACCGCAAGGUGGUCGCAGUGAAGAGGCCCAGGCGACUGUUUACCAAAAACACAGGUCUCCGCUAAGUCGCAAGACGAUGUAUGGGGGCUGACGCCUGCCCAGUGCCGGAAGGUUAAGGAAGCUGGUCAGCGCAAGCGAAGCUAGCGACUGAAGCCCCGGUGAACGGCGGCCGUAACAAUAACGGUCCUAAGGUAGCGAAAUUCCUUGUCGGGUAGUUCCGACCCGCACGAAAGGCGUAACGAUCUGGGCGCUGUCUCGGAGAGAGGCUCGGCGAAAUAGAAUUGUCUGUGAAGAUGCGGACUACGUGCACCCGGACAGAAAGACCCUAUGAAGCUUUACUGUAGCUUGGUAUUGUGCCCGGGCUCGCAAUGCGCAGGAUAGGUGGGAGGCUUUGAUCAUCGGCUUGCGGGUCGAUGUGAGCCAACGGUGAGAUACCACUCUUUGCGAGCUAGGGUUCUAACGGCCACCCGUCAUCCGGGGGCCGGACAGUACCUGGUGGGCAGUUUGACUGGGGCGGUCGCCUCCUAAAAGGUAACGGAGGCGCGCAAAGGUUUGCUCAGGCUGGUUGGAAAUCAGACGACGAGUGUAAAAGCAGAAGCAAGCUUGACUGUGAGACCAACAAGUCGAACAGGGAGGAAACUCGGCUUUAGUGAUCCGACGGUUCUGAGUGGAAGGGCCGUCGCUCAACGGAUAAAAGUUACUCUAAGGAUAACAGGCUGAUCUCCCCCAAGAGUUCACAUCGACGGGGAGGUUUGGCACCUCGAUGUCGGCUCAUCGCAACCUGGGGCUGAAGUCGGUCCCAAGGGUUGGGCUGUUCGCCCAUUAAAGCGGUACGCGAGCUGGGUUCAGAACGUCGUGAGACAGUUCGGUCCAUAUCCGGUGCACGCGCAGGAGUAUUGAGAGGAUUUCUCCCUAGUACGAGAGGACCGGGAGGAACGCACCUCUGGUGUACCAGUUAUCGUGCCAACGGUAAACGCUGGGUAGCCAUGUGCGGAGUGGAUAACCGCUGAAAGCAUCUAAGUGGGAAGCCCACCUCAAGAUGAGUAUUCCCAUGGCGUAAGCCAGUAAGGUCACGGGAAGAACACCCGUUGAUAGGCUCUAUGUGGAAGCGCAGUAAUGCGUGAAGCAGAGGAGUACUAAUAGACCGAGGGC
rnacentral:rRNA from 1 species